rnacentral:lncRNA from 1 species
UGUUGUUCUGCAUUGAACAUGCUUGCUGAUGCAGUCACUGCACCAAACUCUCAAGAUAUCAAAAUAGUGAAGGAGGCUGCUAAUGAUGGUUCUGAUGAAGCUUCCAAUUCCAAGAAACCCAUCAAAUUCAUGGCUUCUUCCUUUGCUGCUUACUCAUCCUUCAAGUUUCGUCUGCAUUCAAACAAAAGAAUCAUGAAUAUUGAUGCUCAUUUACCAUUAACAUCCAAGAGUCGAGCCAACUUCAUGGGCCCUGCAAUUAAAGAAGGAGCCACCUCUAAAGACGAUGAUGAUGACGCAGAUCUUCUUAUAAAGGAG